CGUAGGUGGCAAGCGUUGUCCGGAAUUAUUGGGCGUAAAGCGCGCGCAGGCGGUUCCUUAAGUCUGAUGUGAAAGCCCCCGGCUCAACCGGGGAGGGUCAUUGGAAACUGGGGAACUUGAGUGCAGAAGAGAAGAGCGGAAUUCCACGUGUAGCGGUGAAAUGCGUAGAGAUGUGGAGGAACACCAGUGGCGAAGGCGGCUCUUUGGUCUGUAACUGACGCUGAGGCGCGAAAGCGUGGGGAGCAAACAGGAUUAGAUACCCUGGUAGUCCACGCCGUAAACGAUGAGUGCUAAGUGUUAGAGGGUUUCCGCCCUUUAGUGCUGCAGCUAACGCAUUAAGCACUCCGCCUGGGGAGUACGGCCGCAAGGCUG
rnacentral:rRNA from 1 species